rnacentral:rRNA from 1 species
UUGACCUCGGAUCAGGUAGGAAUACCCGCUGAACUUACAACAGGGAUUGCCCUAGUAACGGCGAGUGAAGCGGCAACAGCUCAAAUUUGAAAUCUGGCUCUCGGGCCCGAGUUGUAAUUUGUAGAGGAUACUUUUGAUGCGGUGCCUUCCGAGUUCCCUGGAACGGGACGCCAUAGAGGGUGAGAGCCCCGUCUGGUUGGAUGCCAAAUCUCUGUAAAGUUCCUUCGACGAGUCGAGUAGUUUGGGAAUGCUGCUCUAAAUGGGAGGUAUAUGUCUUCUAAAGCUAAAUACCGGCCAGAGACCGAUAGCGCACAAGUAGAGUGAUCGAAAGAUGAAAAGCACUUUGAAAAGAGAGUUAAAAAGUACGUGAAAUUGUUGAAAGGGAAGCGUUUAUGACCAGACUUGGGCUUGGUUAAUCAUCUGGGGUUCUCCCCAGUGCACUUUUCCAGUCCAGGCCAGCAUCAGUUUUCCCCGGGGGAUAAAGACUUCGGGAAUGUGGCUCUCUUCGGGGA